GUUUUUGACGUUCGAAAAUAGCUGCAUCUCGCUCAUUUUCUCUAGCUGUCCUUUACAGGGUUUCACACUUUAUCUCAAGACCACGGGACCCCUUCCCGAAUCUGUCUAAGCCAAAGCCAAGACUGCGGUAUGAUGCUUGAAAACGUUGAUGAUACCUGAAUUCAUCGGAUGCAAUGCUGAAUCUGCGGCACAUUUCUCGAAACACACUGGUCCGCGCCGAGGACAUGCGGUCGAAUAUUUUUUUACACGGAUAACCUUUGUGUACAUCAGUGUACUGAAAACAGUGAAUUAUUUUUUCGUGUUUUUACCAGAAAAGAUUAUUUAAACAGUUCAAACUACUUUCUUAACACUUGUAAAUAUUUUAAUUAAACAAAUAUGCAUUCACUCAUUUUAUUAAAUUGUCUUUUUUGGUAAAAAAACGAAAAGGAUAAUUGAGUGUUUCUAAUAGACUGAUGUACACAAAGGUUAUCCGUGUAAAAAAAUAUUCGACCGCAUGUCCUCGGCGCGGACCAGUGUGUUUCGAGAAAUGUGCCGCAGAUUCAGCAUUGCAUCCGAUGAAUUCAGGUAUCAUCAACGUUUUCAGGUAUCAUCAACGAUUUCAAGCAUCAUACCGCAAUCUUGGCUUUGGCUAAGACAAAUUCGGGAAGGGGUCCCGCGGUCUUGAGAUAAAGUGUGAAACCCUGUAUUAGUUUACAGUGCUUGUUUGAGGUGAGCUUUUGUGCUCUCCCUCUCCCACUUCGCUCUAAGCACUUCGUCAACCUUUGUCCAUAUGCUUUUCGUUGUGUAGGUGUGAUUAUUGUCGCUCGAUUUGUCGUGCUGUCUCUUUCGCUCAUGAGGAAGCGUGAAAAAACGAUAACUAACUCGGCGAUUAUGUGAAUUAGAUAUGCACAAUUAUGUUGAUAUUUUUCACUGAAAUUGGCUACAGUUUAGUGCAAAUGCUUUUAAAUUAAUGAGUAAGGAACGUAGGAAUGCUGCGCAACGCCGUUUAAACAACAGAUUGACAACGGGUGCUAUUCUUCACCUUGCAGAUGAACAAAAUGUGAUGCUGUGCGACAAGAGGGACGCUUGCAACCAACCUUCCACCGGUAUCGUCAUGGCGGAACAAAUCCGGCGCUGUGGCCCCACCUAAGAGAGUUUUUGGUGUGCCAGGAGAAUCGCAAUGACUGCAAACAUCGGUUUCCCACGUCGUCAUUUACCGGCAUUCACAUCGACGGAAAGCAAGAAAGACACCGAUAAGCGGAGAACCACAGGUAGCUUCCGAUAUGUUUUGUAAGGGCUGCACUCUGUGUUCCGUGAAAUGAAGAUGGACUGCUUACGGUUGAGCUCAUCUGUUCGCGAUAUUCAAGUGUUGCUGCUCUACCAAAUUCAGCACUCGAGCUUGCUGUGUGAUUCUGCGCACAGCGUCGUACGUCAUGUGGCAUUCAAGCAACCUUUUGACAACGCAUGCGUCCGCUUUUCAAUUACUGGAAAUAUCCGUCAAAAUAUCCGAUUCCAUCCUACAAUGGUUAAUCAUGUUUUCGAUACAACAUGAUCUAGCAGACUGGAAAGUCCAAUUCGUUUGACAAAAAAAGUGCGUAGAGAAAUCAUGUAAUGAGAACUCCGGACACAUGCGCACCUGCUGUACCCACUGGUUGAGAUCGAUUCCGAUUGGCAUGCACUCGACUCCGGAAAAUGAAUCCCUUGUCCGACCACUAGUUUUAACAUGUUCAGAGUAUUUGAUAUGUUAAUACUAAUGGUGGGAUGCGAACUGAACUUGGUGGUUGGACUAAGUGGGUGGCAAAGAUAGGUGUGAAAGGAGGCAGCCAACAAACUGGAGAACGGUUGACACACUUUUUGCAUGUCAACUUGAUACUCUUCUGCGUCUUGUUUAAAGACGAAAAUCGU